rnacentral:rRNA from 1 species
GAUGAACGCUGGCGGCGUGCUUAACACAUGCAAGUCGAACGGAAAGGCCCAAGCUUGCUUGGGUACUCGAGUGGCGAACGGGUGAGUAACACGUGGGUGAUCUGCCCUGCACUUCGGGAUAAGCCUGGGAAACUGGGUCUAAUACCGGAUAGGACCACUUCUUGGAUGUUGUGGUGGAAAGUUUUUUCGGUGUGGGAUGAGCUCGCGGCCUAUCCGCUUGUUGGUGGGGUAAUGGCCUCCCAAGGCGUCGACGGGUAGCCGGCCUGAGAGGGUGUACGGCGACAUUGGGACUGAGAGACGGCCCAGACUCCUGCGGGAGGCAGCGGGGGGGAAUAUGGCACAAUGGGCGCAAGCCUGAGGCAGCGACGCCGGGUGGGGGAUGACGGCCUUCGGGUUGUAAACGCCUUUCGCUGGGGACGAAGCGUUUUGGGAGGGUACCGGGAGAAGAAGCACCGGCUAACUACGG